GGAAGCAUAGCCUUGAGGUUAAGGCACUAGACUGGGACUCCAGAGAUCUCUAUUCAAUUCCUGGCUCUUCCA
rnacentral:tRNA from 1 species